rnacentral:tRNA from 1 species
GGCAGCUGGGGCACCGAGCGGCGGUGCGGGCCGGUCUUCGACCGGCUGGAGAAGGCCGGGUUCCUGGACUCACGGCUGUUCGUGCCACUGCUGAUGCUG